UGUCCCCUGCGGGGUGCGUGAUGUGCAGCAGAAAUUCGAACCGAUACGUCCAUUCCGGGGGCCGUACCGGGGUUCCAUGCGUCAGGCCCGGGGCAGCCGGCACUCGCCGACGACCCGGGAGACCUACGGCACCUCACCUCGGCUCCCACCUGGCUCAACUGGGUUCAAUGGACGCUGCGCACACGGCCCAGCGGCGGGGGACGU
rnacentral:other from 1 species